rnacentral:rRNA from 1 species
UACGUAGGGUGCAAGCGUUGUCCGGAAUUAUUGGGCGUAAAGAGCUCGUAGGCGGUUUGUCGCGUCUGCUGUGAAAACGCGAGGCUCAACCUCGCGCCUGCAGUGGGUACGGGCAGACUAGAGUGCGGUAGGGGAGAUUGGAAUUCCUGGGUGUAGCGGUGGAAUGCGCAGAUAUCAGGAGGAACACCGAUGCGAAGGCAGAUCUCUGGGCCGUUACUGACGCUGAGGAGCGAAAGCAUGGGGAGCGAACAGG